rnacentral:lncRNA from 1 species
AUGUUCCGUGCCUUCCUAGCUCCUCCCCGUUGCUCUUCCCCGGGGUCCUUGCGGCUGUUCCUUCACCCGCCCACCAAGGUCCCCUAUCCUGAGGUCCUGCUUUCCACCCCAGCUCCUUGCCCACCCCGGGCAGCCGCAGGGUCCCCACGCAGGAGUCACUCAACAGCUUUGGCUUCUCGAUUUCUUGAUGUCAUCGCCAGUCCCCUUCCAAGCUUCUCUUCUGCCCCUACUUCCAGGCUUUUACCUCUUGCAUCCCCAGCUGCCCACUGGCCGGUGUCCCGUGCCCCUCCGGCCCCUUCUGUUCAGGAGGUGAGCGGCUCUGUCUCCAGCUGUGCCGCCCGCAACCCUGCCCUUCCCCGUCUGCUCCUCAGCUGCCCUCACCCUGGGACCCCGGCCUGGCUCUCCACCGCCUGCCCCACCUGCUGCCCUGUGGACGGAGCUCUUCUCCCUUUGAGAUCCUGUAGAUGGGUGGCCUUUGCCUCUGGCAGGGAGCUCGCUGGUGCCUGGCCACCCUCCCCCUCUCCUGGCCCUCUUGCUUUUCCUCUGCAUCGGUUGUUUUGCACCUUCCCUGUGCUCUCCUUAAGCCCCANNNNNNNNNNNNNNNNNNNNNNNNNNNNNNNNNNNNNCGCACUGAGGAGCCGCCCUGCUCUCCUGCCCUUUCUCCACCUGUGUCUGUCUCCCUCCACGCCUCACCUCAGCCCUGUUCCUGCUGCCUGUGUCCCUGGCUGAGACUCAGCCCUGCCUUCUGCGCAGACCUCAUCUCCCAAGUCUCAGGGACGGGCGUCACUAGUCAUCCGCUGUUCUUGUGGUCACUUCUGUCUGCUGGCGUCCACACUACCCCCUCCUCUCACUGCCCCGGCUUUACUUUCCAUCCUACCUAAGCUUUUGCUCAGAGCUGCUCGUGACGUUUAUCUGCAUCCUCUCACUUCCCUGGUUCUGCUGCGGCCUCCGCAGCCUCCACCCCCGGUGACCUGGCUCCCCUUGGGGUCGGACCCUGGGCAUUUCACAGCCGACCCUCCUGAGCUUCCCUUCCCAUUCGGCCCUCACAGGCCCUGCCUCCCCAGGUCUCCUCCGGGGUCACGGGUGUAGGUUGUGAAUCUGCGUCUGCAACAGGGAUGCCUUCUCCGGCUCUUCAGGCUUUCUCAUCUCACUUGUUGGUGUCAGAGGCCAGAAACCAUUCUCAGGUGACCCCACCAUCCCAGGAAGGGAAAUACAUGGAGCGAAUCCUGCAGUCAAGGCCAUCUUCCACCUGUGCUUCCUUUCAGAUCUUUGGGAACCUUAAAAGCAGAACCAGUGCUUGUGGGAGAAACUGGGAAGGCAGAGGGCAUCUGGUCUACCCAGCAUGACUAUCUCUGGAGGCUGGGGGCCAGCAGGUGGAUGUGUGGGACUGUCUCUGAAGGCUGGGGGCCAGCUGGUGGAUGUGUGAGGCUGUCUCUGAAGGCUGGGGGCCAGCUGUUGGAUAUGCGGGGCUGUCUCUGGAGGCUGGGGGUCAGUUGUUGGAUGUGCGGUGCUGUCUCU